rnacentral:rRNA from 1 species
GAUUAACGCUGGCGGCGUGCAUAACACAUGCAAGUCGAACGAAGUGGCGGACGGGUGAGUAACGCGUGAGUAACCUGCCUUAGAGAAGGGGAUAGCCUUUGGAAUCGAAGAAUAAUACCCUAUGCUCUCAGAUGGACUUGCGUCUGAUUAGCUAGUUGGUGAGAUAAUAGCUCACAAAGGCAACGAUCAGUAGCCGGCUGUAGAGAGUGGACGGACACAUUGGGACAGAGACACGGACCAGACUUUACGGGUGGCAGAAGAGGGGAACUAUGCACAAUGGGGGAAUCCCUGAUGCAGAGACGCCGCGUGAUUUAGAAGUCAUAAGGGUUGUAAAAAUCUUUUCUAUGGGAAGCAGUACCAUAGGAAUAAGGACCGGCUAAGUACGUGCCAGCAGCCGCGGUAAUAC